UCGGGAAUUUUGGGCAAUGGGCGCAAGCCUGACCCAGCAACGCCGCGUGAGGGAUGAAGGCCUUCGGGUCGUAAACCUCUGUCGGGAGGGAAGAUGGGUCUGCAGGCCAAUACCCUGUGGAUUUGACGGUACCUCCAAAGGAAGCGCCGGCUAACUCCGUGCCAGCAGCCGCGGUAAUACGGAGGGCGCAAGCGUUGUUCGGAAUCACUGGGCGUAAAGCGCGUGUAGGCGGCUUGGCAAGUCGGUUGUGAAAUCCCGAGGCUCAACCUCGGAACUGCAACCGAAACUGCCUCGCUAGAGUCCCGGAGAGGGUGGCGGAAUUUCCGGUGUAGAGGUGAAAUUCGUAGAUAUCGGAAGGAACACCAGUGGCGAAGGCGGCCACCUGGACGGUGACUGACGCUGAGACGCGAAAGCGUGGGGAGCAAACAGGAUUAGAUACCCCCGUAGUCC
rnacentral:rRNA from 1 species